rnacentral:rRNA from 1 species
CCUACGGGAGGCAGCAGUGAGGAAUAUUGGUCAAUGGCCGGAAGGCUGAACCAGCCAAGCCGCGUGAAGGACGACUGUGCCAAGCAUUGUCAACUUCUUUUGUCAAGGGACAAAAUCAGGCUCGAGUGCCUGAUCGCGUGUACUUUAUGAAAAAGCAUCGGCUAACUCCGUGCCAGCAGCCGCGUUAAUACGGAGGAUGCGAGCGUUAACCGGUGUUAUUGGGUUUAAGGGUUGCGUAGUGGGGCUGUUAAGUCAGCGGUAAAAGCUCGGGGCUCAACCCCGGAGAGCCGUUGAGACUGGCUGUCUUGAGAUGACGAGAGGUAUGCGGAAUGCGCAGUGUAGCGGUGAAAUGCUUAGAUAUCACGCAGAACUCCGAUUGCGAAGGCAGCAUACCGGCGCUCAACUGACGCUGAGGCACGAAAGCGUGGGGAUCGAACAGGAUUAGAUACCCUGGUAGUC